GACGAACCGUGCGAACGUUGUUCGGAAUAACUGGGCUUAAAGGGAGCGUAGGCGGGCUAUCAAGUCUGGGGUGAAAUGCCGCGGCUCAACCGUGGAACUGCCUCAGAUACUGACGGCCUCGAGGGGGAUAGGGGCAUGCGGAACUGUAGGUGGAGCGGUGAAAUGCGUUGAUAUCUACAGGAACUCCGGUGGCGAAAGCGGCGUGCUGGAUCACUUCUGACGCUGAGGCUCGAAAGCCAGGGGAGCAAACGGG
rnacentral:rRNA from 1 species